rnacentral:rRNA from 1 species
UUUGUUACUUCAAACCAAUCGGACUUCGGUCUGACAUCAAGUGAUAUUGAACAAUUUAGCUGAUCGCACGGUCUAAGAACCGGCGACAUAUCCUUCAAAUGUCUGCCUUAUCAACUUUCGAUGGUAGAUUAUGCGCCUACCAUGGUUGUAACGGGUAACGGAGAAUCAGGGUUUGAUUCCGGAGAGGGAGCCUGAGAAACGGCUACCACAUCCAAGGAAGGCAGCAGGCACGCAAAUUACCCACUCCCGGCGCGGGGAGGUAGUGACGAAAAAUAACAAGCUGGUCUCAAUGAGCUCCAGCAUUGUAAUGGGAACAAUUUAAAUCUUUUAUCGAGGAUCUAUUGGAGGGCAAGUCUGGUGCCAGCAGCCGCGGUAAUUCCAGCUCCAAUAGCGUAUAUUAAAGUUGUUGCGGUUAAAAAGCUCGUAGUUGGAUCUAGGAUUAGGGCUACGGUCGUUCAGCUUGGACGUACUGUAUGCCCGACUCCUUUUCUCUAGUAUUCGACUGUUGCUCUUAAAUGAGUGACUUUAGUUGCUGGAACUUUUACCUUGAAAAAAUUGAAGUGCUCAAAGCAGGUU